rnacentral:ncRNA from 1 species
GCUAUGAAUGGGCAAACCCAUUGAAAAGUGGGGACGCAAAGCCACGGGCCUAAUGUACACGUUACGAUGGCAGCCGGGUUGCCAAC